UACAAAUUAAAUUAUCUCCCUUUGUGGAACUCUCGUGUAAAGAAGAUAAAGAAGAAUGAUUGGAGAAAGCCAGAUGUCAACAAAAUGGAUGGUUUGAAAUGUAGUUUUGGUGAAAAUUGUAAAGAGAAAGCAGAUAAUAUACUUUAGGAUUGUAAGAAAAACACUUCAGCACACUUGAGAUUUUUUAAAUGUACCUCUGAGUCAGAUUUUGUACAAAUACCAGAAUCAUCGUGCUGGUGUGCAUGGGUUGAGGCUGUCAAUUUUCAGCGGGCGUACAUGUGCUAAACACAGGCAGGAAUAUGGAAUUCAGUGGAAAAGGAAAAGGAGAACAUGCUGUCAUUCACUACAUAAACAAUCUCAAUCUGGCAUAAUCGCGAGUGGAAUUACAUUCAUUCAAAGCCGAGAGAUAUGGAUGAAGCUGAGCACACAUUUUCCAACUGGUUCUGGUGUUCGCAGAAAACGCAUUGAGAGAAAACUGUGUCAAGAUUAAUACAGAUCUGAAGGAGGAGUUGAAAGAAAUAUGCUGUUUACUAGAGAGAACUACAGAUUCUGAAGCAAUGGACGCUGAUAUAUCUUUUUCUAACCCAAGAGAUUUUGAUCUUCUGUCAUCUCAGAAAACUGUGGGGUCUGAUCAGUCCAAAGAUGAAAGAACAGAGCAUGAAAUCUUAAAUGAAGCUGUGAAAUUAUUGUCAGAUGGAAAGUACUCCCCUGUAAAAUCACAGCCAUCUAUGAAUCUUGAUCAACUUCAGUAUUCAAAGAGAAUUGUGAUACAUGCAUGAAUUCAUAUUAUUAUAUUUUCAUGUUAAAUACUACUCGAAAACCAUUGUCAACCUCUGCUUCGCGUCGGUUGACAAUGGUGUCCUUGGGGUGUCAAUUUCAACUGUUACCCUCCCAAACAGGCACUAUUUAUAUAAUGUUAGUCCUCUAAUAGCACUACAUGUGUAUGAGUUGAUGACGUAAGUCUUCUAAUAGCGCUACAGGUAUAAAUUGAUUAUUUUAGGCCAUUAAUAGACAAACAUGUAUCAAUUGAGGAUGUAAGCUAGAUAAUAGCACUUCAUUAAUGAUUUGAUGAUAAGAGUUGUCUAACAUCACUUGUAUGAAUUGAUGAUGUUAUUUGGCCAAAAGUGCUACAUGUAUGAAUGUUGGCUAGUAGCUCUACAUGUAUGAAUUAAUGAUGUUAGUUAUUUAAUAGUGCUACAUGUAUGAAUUGAUAAUUUUAUUGGUCUAAUAGUGCUACAAGAAGGAAUUGAUGAUGUAAGUUUGCUAAAAACAUUACAUAAUUAAUAUAUGAAUUGAUGUUGUCUGUUCUAUAAUAGCAUUUCAUGUACGAAUGAUGAUGUUAGUCCUCUAUUAGCACUACACAUAUAUGAAUUGAUAAUGUUUUUGUACUAAUAGCGCUACAGGUAUGAAUUGAUUGUUAUUUGGCCAAUAGCGCUACGUGUAUCAAUUGAGGAUGUAAACUUUAUGAAUGAUUUGAUGAUGAAAGUUGACUUAUAGCACUAGUGUGAAUUGAUGGUGUUACCUGGCUAGCUAAUUGUGCUAUACGUUUGAAUUGAUGAUGUUCUUAGACUAGUAGCGCCACAUGUAUGAAUUGAUGAGGUUACAUGUAUUUGGCUAACAGCGCUACAUGAAUUAAUGAUGUUAUUUGGCCAAUAGUGAAACAUGUACAUACAUGAAUUAAUGAUCAUUGUUGUCUUAAAUUGCUACAUGUUUAAAUUGAUGAUGUUAUUUGGCAAAUAGUGAUUCAUGUAUGAAUUGAUGUUGUUUGGUUAUCAGUGCUAUAUGUAUGAAUCAAUAAUGUUAUUUAGCUUUUAGUGCAACAUGUAUGAAUGAUGAUAAAGGUUGUUCAAUAGCACUACAUGUAUGAAUUUAUGAUUUUAUUUGACUAAAAGAUAAGUGCUCCAUGUGUGAAUUGUUGGUGUUUGGUUAUUAGUGCUACAUGUAUAAAUUGAUGGUAAUACAUGUAUUUGUCUAACAGUGUUAAAUGUAUGAAUUGAAAAUGGAUGUCUUA